AGUGAACGCUGGCGGUAGGCCUAACACAUGCAAGUCGAACGGCAGCACAGUAAGAGCUUGCUCUUACGGGUGGCGAGUGGCGGACGGGUGAGGAAUACAUCGGAAUCUACUUUUUCGUGGGGGAUAACGUAGGGACACUUACGCUAAUACCGCAUACGACCUACGGGUGAAAGCAGGGGAUCUUCGGACCUUGCGCGAUUGAAUGAGCCGAUGUCGGAUUAGCUAGUUGGCGGGGUAAAGGCCCACCAAGGCGACGAUCCGUAGCUGGUCUGAGAGGAUGAUCAGCCACACUGGAACUGAGACACGGUCCAGACUCCUACGGGAGGCAGCAGUGGGGAAUAUUGGACAAAGGGCGCAAGCCUGAUCCAGCCAUACCGCGUGGGUGAAGAAGGCCUUCGGGUUGUAAAGCCCUGUUGUUGGGAAAGAAAAGCAGCAGGUUAAUACCCCGCUGUUCUGACGGUACCCAAAGAAUAAGCACCGGCUAACUUCGUG
rnacentral:rRNA from 1 species